CCGCGGCGUAUUAGCUAGAUGGUGGGGUAACGGCUCACCAUGGCAAUGAUACGUAGCCGACCUGAGAGGGUAAUCGGCCACAUUGGGACUGAGACACGGCCCAAACUCCUACGGGAGGCAGCAGUAGGGAAUCUUCCACAAUGGACGAAAGUCUGAUGGAGCAACGCCGCGUGAGUGAAGAAGGGUUUCGGCUCGUAAAACUCUGUUGUUAAAGAAGAACAUAUCUGAGAGUAACUGUUCAGGUAUUGACGGUAUUUAACCAGAAAGCCACGGCUAACUACGUGCCAGCAGCCGCGGUAAUACGUAGGUGGCAAGCGUUGUCCGGAUUUAUUGGGCGUAAAGCGAGCGCAGGCGGUUUUUUAAGUCUGAUGUGAAAGCCUUCGGCUCAACCGAAGAAGUGCAUCGGAAACUGGGAAACUUGAGUGCAGAAGAGGACAGUGGAACUCCAUGUGUAGCGGUGAAAUGCGUAGAUAUAUGGAAGAACACCAGUGGCGAAGGCGGCUGUCUGGUCUGUAACUGACGCUGAGGCUCGAAAGUAUGGGUAGCAAACAGGAUUAGAUACCCUGGUAGUCCAUACCGUAAACGAUGAAUGCUAAGUGUUGGAGGGUUUCCGCCCUUCAGUGCUGCAGCUAACGCAUUAAGCAUUCCGCCUGGGGAGUACGGCCGCAAGGCUGAAACUCCAAGGAAUUGACCGGGGCCCGCACAAGCGGUGGAGCAUGUGGUUUAAUUCGAAGCUACGCGAAGAACCUUACCAGGUCUUGACAUACUAUGCAAAUCUAAGAGAUUAGACGUUCCCUUCGGGGACAUGGAUACAGGUGGUGCAUGGUUGUCGUCAGCUCGUGUCGUGAGAUGUUGGGUUAGUCCCGCACGAGCGCACCCUAUAUCAGUGCCAGCAUUAGUGGGCACUCUGGUGAGACUGCCGGUGACAACCCGGAGAAG
rnacentral:rRNA from 1 species